AGUGAACGCUGGCGGCAGGCCUAACACAUACAAGUCGAACGGCAGCACAAGAGAGCUUGCUCUCUGGGUGGCGAGUGGCGGACGGGUGAGGAAUGCAUCGGAAUUUGCCCAUUUGUGGGGGAUAACCUCGGGAAACCGGGACUAAUACCGCAUACGACCUACGGGUGAAAGCAGGGGAUCUUCGGACCUUGCGCAGAUGGAUGAGCCGAUGCCGGAUUAGCUAGUUGGAGGGGUAAAGGCCCACCAAGGCGACGAUCCGUAGCUGGUCUGAGAGGAUGAUCAGCCACACUGGGACUGAGACACGGCCCAGACUCCUACGGGAGGCAGCAGUGGGGAAUAUUGGACAAUGGGCGCAAGCCUGAUCCAGCCAUGCCGCGUGUGUGAAGAAGGCCUUCGGGUUGUAAAGCACUUUUGUUGGGAAAGAAAAGCAGCCGGUUAAUACCCGGUUGUCAUGACGGUACCCAAAGAAUAAGCACCGGCUAACUUCGUG
rnacentral:rRNA from 1 species